rnacentral:rRNA from 1 species
AAUAUUGGACAAUGGGGGCAACCCUGAUCCAGCCAUGCCGCGUGUGUGAAGAAGGUCUUCGGAUUGUAAAGCACUUUAAGUGGGGAGGAAGGGCUGUAGGUUAAUACUCUGAAGUUUUUACGUUACUAAAAGAAGAAGCAACGUCUAACACUGUGCCAGCAGCCGUGGUAAACCAGAGGGUGCAAGCUUUAAUCGGAAUUACUGGGAAUAAAGCGCGCGUUGGUGGUUCAGUAAGAUGGGUGUGAAAUCCCCGGGCUAACCUGGGAACUGCUUUCAUAACUGCUUAGCUAGAGUACGGUAGAGGGUAGUGGAAUUUCCUGUGUAGCGGUGAAAUGCGUAGAUAUAGGAAGGAACACCAGUGGCGAAGGCGACUACCUGGACUGAUACUGACACUGAGGUGCGAAAGCGUGGGGAGCAAAC